CACUUUCGCCAACGCCCUCAUCACCACCAAUGACCCUGUCACGGCCAUCAAUGUUAACCAGACUGUAGCGGGUCAGAGCGCU
rnacentral:ribozyme from 1 species